UCUACCUAGUAGUGGGGGAUAACUUGCCGAAAGGUAAGCUAAUACCGCAUACGUCCUACGGGAGAAAGCAGGGGACCUUCGGGCCUUGCGCUAUUAGAUGAGCCUAGGUCGGAUUAGUUAGUUGGUGAGGUAAUGGCUCACCAAGACAGCGAUCCGUAACUGGUCUGAGAGGAUGAUCAGUCACACUGGAACUGAGACACGGUCCAGACUCCUACGGGAGGCAGCAGUGGGGAAUAUUGGACAAUGGGGGGAACCCUGAUCCAGCCAUGCCGCGUGUGUGAAGAAGGUCUUAGGAUUGUAAAGCACUUUAAGUUGGGAGGAAGGGCAGUUAACUAAUAUUUGACUGUUUUGACGUUACCGACAGAAUAAGCACCGGCUAACUUCGUGCCAGCAGCCGCGGUAAUACGAAGGGUGCAAGCGUUAAUCGGAAUUACUGGGCGUAAAGCGCGCGUAGGUGGUUCGUUAAGUUAGGAGUGAAAGCCCCGGGCUCAACCUGGGAAUUGCUUCUAAAACUGGCGGGCUAGAGUAUGGUACAGGGUGGUGGAAUUUCCUGUGUAACGGUGAAAUGCGUAGAUAUAUGAAGGAACAUCGGUGGCGAAAGGCGACACUG
rnacentral:rRNA from 1 species